AAAUACCCACUCCCAGCACGGGGAGGUAGUGACGAAAAAUAACAAUACAAGACUCACAUCCGAGGCCUUGUAAUUGGAAUGAGUACACUUUAAAUCCUUUAACAAGGAUCAAUUGGAGGGCAAGUCUGGUGCCAGCAGCCGCGGUAAUUCCAGCUCCAAUAGCGUAUAUUAAAGUUGUUGCGGUUAAAACGUUCGUAGUUGAACUUGUGUUUCGCACGGGCAGUACCUACGACUAGGUAACUAGGACGGUGCUUUGUCUUAUCUUCUUUCACCUUUUUAAGGUAGAGAAAAGUGCGUGAACGUAUUAUCGGCGUGUUCGUUCUCGGACGUUCACAUAAGCUUAUUUCAGUGCUCUUAAACGAGUGUUGUUGUGAGCCGAUACUAAUUACUUUGAACAAAUUAGAGUGCUUAAAGCAGGCUUGUAAUGCCUGAAUUUUUUGUGCAUGGAAUAAUGAAAUAGGACAUCUGUUCUACUUUCAUUGGUUUUUUAGACCAAGAUGUAAUGAUUAAUGGAAGCAGUUGGGGGCAUUAGUAUUACAACGCGAGAGGUGAAAUUCUUAGACCGUUGUAAGACUGACUAAAGCGAAAGCAUUUGCCAAAGAUGUUUUCAUUUAAUCAAGAACGAAAGUUAGAGGUUCGAAGGCGAUCAGAUACCGCCCUAGUUCUAACCAUAAACGAUGCCAGCUAGCAAUUGGAUGUAGCUACUACUAUGGCUCUUUCAGUCGCUUCUCGGGAAACCAAAGCUUUUGGGCUCCGGGGGAAGUAUGGUUGCAAAGCUGAAACUUAAAGGAAUUGACGGAAGGGCACCACCAGGAGUGGAGCCUGCGGCUUAAUUUGACUCAACACGGGAAAACUUACCAGGUCCGAACAUAAAUGAGUAAGACAGAUUGAUAGCUCUUUCUC
rnacentral:rRNA from 1 species